ACUUUGAUCCUGGCUCAGGAUGAACGCUAGCUACAGGCUUAACACAUGCAAGUCGAGGGGAAACGACAUCGAAAGCUUGCUUUUGAUGGGCGUCGACCGGCGCACGGGUGAGUAACGCGUAUCCAACCUGCCCAUCACUUGGGGAUAACCUUGCGAAAGUAAGACUAAUACCCAAUGAUAUCUCUAGAAGACAUCUGAAGGAGAUUAAAGAUUUAUCGGUGAUGGAUGGGGAUGCGUCUGAUUAGCUUGUUGGCGGGGUAACGGCCCACCAAGGCUACGAUCAGUAGGGGUUCUGAGAGGAAGGUCCCCCACAUUGGAACUGAGACACGGUCCAAACUCCUACGGGAGGCAGCAGUGAGGAAUAUUGGUCAAUGGGCGAGAGCCUGAACCAGCCAAGUAGCGUGCA
rnacentral:rRNA from 1 species